ACGCACGCUGGCGGCGUGCUUAACCCAUGCCAGUCGAACGGGUCUGCCCUGUUUUUUGCGGGGUGGGUCAGUGGCGAACGGGUGAGUAACACGUGAGUAACCUGCCCCUCACUUCUGGAUAACCGCUUGAAAGGGUGGCUAAUACGGGGUGUUCUGGCUGUGCCGCAUGGUGUGGCUGGGAAAGAUUCACUUUUGUGGUGUUUUGGUGGGGGAUGGGCUCGCGGCCUAUCAGCUUGUUGGUGGGGUGAUGGCCUGCCAAGGCUUUGACGGGUAGCCGGCCUGAGAGGGUGGGCGGUCACACUGGGACUGAGAUACGGCCCAGACUCCUGCGGGAGGCAGCAGUGGGGGGUAUUGCACAAUGGGCGGAAGCCUGAUGCAGCGACGUCGCGUGAGGGAUGGAGGCCUUCGGGUUGUGAACCUCUUUCGCCGGUGAAGAAGGUCCUGCUCUUUGUGGUGGGGUUGACGGUAGCCGGGUUAUGAAGCGCCGGCUAACUACGUG
rnacentral:rRNA from 1 species